rnacentral:rRNA from 1 species
AGAGUUUGAUCCUGGCUCAGGACGAACGCUGGCGGCGUGCCUAAUACAUGCAAGUCGAGCGAACCAAAGAAAGCUUGCUUUCUUAAGGUUAGCGGCGGACGGGUGAGUAACACGUGGGCAACCUGCCUGUAAGACUGGGAUAACUCGCGGAAACGUGAGCUAAUACCGGAUAAGAUUUUCCUUCGCAUGAAGGGAAAUAGAAAGAUGGCUUCGGCUAUCACUUACAGACGGGCCCGCGGCGCAUUAGCUAGUUGGUGAGGUAACGGCCCACCAAGGCAACGAUGCGUAGCCGACCUGAGAGGGUGAUCGGCCACACUGGGACUGAGACACGGCCCAGACUCCUACGGGAGGCAGCAGUAGGGAAUCUUCGGCAAUGGACGCAAGUCUGACCGAGCAACGCCGCGUGAGUGAAGAAGGUUUUCGGAUCGUAAAACUCUGUUGUUAGAGAAGAACAAGGAUGAGAGUAAAAUGUUCAUCCCUUGACGGUAUCUAACCAGAAAGCCACGGCUAACUACGUGCCAGCAGCCGCGGUAAUACGUAGGUGGCAAGCGUUGUCCGGAUUUAUUGGGCGUAAAGCGAGCGCAGGCGGUUUCUUAAGUCUGAUGUGAAAGCCCCCGGCUCAACCGGGGAGGGUCAUUGGAAACUGGGAAACUUGAGUGCAGAAGAGGAGAGUGGAAUUCCAUGUGUAGCGGUGAAAUGCGUAGAUAUAUGGAGGAACACCAGUGGCGAAGGCGGCUCUCUGGUCUGUAACUGACGCUGAG